UACGAGGGGGGCGAGCGUUGUUCGGAAUUAUUGGGCGUAAAGAGCUCGUAGGCGGUUUGUCGCGUCUGCUGUGAAAACCCGAGGCUCAACCUCGGGCCUGCAGUGGGUACGGGCAGACUAGAGUGCGGUAGGGGAGAUUGGAAUUCCUGGUGUAGCGGUGGAAUGCGCAGAUAUCAGGAGGAACACCAAUGGCGAAGGCAGAUCUCUGGGCCGUAACUGACGCUGAGGAGCGAAAGCGUGGGUAGCAAACAGG
rnacentral:rRNA from 1 species